rnacentral:rRNA from 1 species
UACAGAGGGUGCGAGCGUUAAUCGGAAUUACUGGGCGUAAAGCGUGCGUAGACGGUUAUGUAAGUCAGGUGUGAAAGCCCCCGGGCUCAACCUGGGAAUUGCAUUUGAGACUGCAUAGCUAGGGUGCGGAAGAGGGAAGCGGAAUUUCCGGUGUAGCGGUGAAAUGCGUAGAUAUCGGAAGGAACACCAGUGGCGAAAGCGGCUUCCUGGUCCAGCACCGACGUUCAGGCACGAAAGCGUGGGGAGCAAACAGG